rnacentral:rRNA from 1 species
AUUGAACGCUGGCGGCAUGCUUUACACAUGCAAGUCGAACGGCAGCGGGGGCUUCGGCCUGCCGGCGAGUGGCGAACGGGUGAGUAAUGCAUCGGAACGUGCCCAUGUCGUGGGGGAUAACGUAGCGAAAGCUACGCUAAUACCGUAUACGCCCUGAGGGGGAAACGGGGGAUUCUUCGGAGCCUCGCGCGAUUGGAGCGGCCGAUGUCGGAUUAGCUAGUAGGUGAGGUAAAGGCUCACCUAGGCGACGAUCCGUAGCGGGUCUGAGAGGAUGAUCCGCCACACUGGGACUGAGACACGGCCCAGACUCCUACGGGAGGCAGCAGUGAGGAAUAUUGGACAAUGGGGGCAACCCUGAUCCAGCCAUGCCGCGUGUGUGAAGAAGGCCU